rnacentral:rRNA from 1 species
UGGGGAAUAUUGCACAAUGGGCGCAAGCCUGAUGCAGCCAUGCCGCGUGUGUGAAGAAGGCCUUCGGGUUGUAAAGCACUUUCAGCGGGGAGGAAGGCGGUGAGGUUAAUAACCUCAUCGAUUGACGUUACCCGCAGAAGAAGCACCGGCUAACUCCGUGCCAGCAGCCGCGGUAAUACGGUGGGUGCAAGCGUUAAUCGGAAUUACUGGGCGUAAAGCGCACGCAGGCGGUCUGUCAAGUCGGAUGUGAAAUCCCCGGGCUUAACCCGGGAAUUGCAUCUGAUACUGGUCAGCUAGAGUCUUGUAGAGGGGGGUAGAAUUCCAUGUGUGGCGGUGAAAUGCGUAGAGAUGUGGAGGAAUACCGGUGGCGAAGGCGGCCCCCUGGACAAAGACUGACGCUCAGGUGCGAAAGCGUGGGGAGCAAACAGG